AAUAAAUGGUUUUCCUUAUGAUAAAUAAAUUUGUUUAAAUCAAGAGCUGUAUUGGUUGUUUUUAUGAUUUUUACCAACAUUCAGUUUCUGUAUCGGUGAAUAAUGUGAUAUUCUUAGUGGGUUAGUGUAAUUCGUCAUUUCAUUAACUAUUUCAGAUCAAGAGGAUCAAGAUUCAGAUUCCGAUCAACAAGAGGGUUGUAAAUAAGUUCACCACCCGAACUCUCUUCAAAAGCUACCGAAGGUCGUUCUAGAAUAGUCAGUUAUUUGAUUUUCGUUUGUCUUUUUAGAAUGGACAUUUCCGUAAUUCUAUUGGGCAUUAUAAAUUAUUGUGUAAGGAAUGUAAACAGUAUACUCUAUUAU
rnacentral:lncRNA from 1 species